UCUUAACUUCCAAUUAAGGUAACUCGGUCACUGUUUGGAGCAGUCUCUCUCAAGGCUCAAUUUCUUUUGGAUAAAUAUUUAAUCCAUUUUAUGGGUCAGAUUGGCUCCCAGGGCUAUCUCUCUAUUCUCCGGGGUUAAUUCCUCAUUCUCCCUGUCGAGACACCAUCCAGGUACCUGGACAGCCUUACGCUUUCUUCUGAUGAUGGGGGUUGGGGAGGAAGGAGGUCCUCAUGCUCCUAAUACUGGCUCUGAGAUCUUCACUGCCCUCCACAGAGAUGUCCUGCAUCAUCACUGACACGUCUUCAGGCCUCUCUACUGCUGAUUACCAAGUCAGUGGAGCUCACGGUCAGUCCUUCUACUUGGGUAUAUGCCUGGGUGGCUAGACAUGACCCACCUUAGUUUCCUGCUGGCUCUGCAGAUCCCUCUGGGACUUGGUUGUGACUUCAAUUCAGUCUCCCUGGCCUGGGUAAUCCAUCCUGCAGCUCUUGGCUACAGGAUCACUUUGACCUUGUAAUAAAAGGACAGCUAACACAUUCAAUUGCUUUCCUUGUCCUUUCAGUGAUGGUGAAGGGGGACGCUGGAUAAUUGUCAGAGACUCAAGACAUUGGCACAGACCCUCUCUGCAUGAGCACAUGACACCACCAAUGGUAAUGCAGCCCCCCCGCCCAGGGAAAGAGCAGGAGUUCUGGGAAGAUAUCCAAGGGACCUGAGGGAAGCAAAGUUUCUUCAGACAGCUCAGAGUAGGCUGUGGCCUCCUGAACCUUCUGUCCCACAGUUGCUCCAGCUGAUUCUAAUGGGCGGUCUUUCCUUGGCCUCCGGUACUGUCCUCGCAUGCGUGCACUGAUCAACACUCAGCUGCAGAUUUGAAGGGAACUCUCUGCAGACCUCCUGAGUCCUCUCUCCAUAGAGAGAAUCCGCUCCCAUUCCCCCUGGACCUUGAACAGCCCUUGAAUGGGAUCUUGAGCCAAUGAAGUUUUCCAUAAGUAGUAGUUGUUGCAUGAAUAAAUAUCCCGUUGCUCUCCAUGUGUUAAGUGAACUUGGGUCAGGGCCUAGUAUUUGCCUUCCAGAAAACAUCUCACAAACCAAGGCCAGAUUCUCCACUAAAAGAGAACAAAGCUCAUUUCUCCUGAGGAGGUUAAGCUGUAGAUAAACAUAGCCCUGAGACUUAGAGCCACCUGCUAACCCUCCCGACCCUACCCUGGUCCAUCCGGGACAGAGAUUCCAGGGCCUUGGGCUGCUGUGUCCAAUAAGCACCCACAGGGCAUGUGUGGCUAUUGAGCACUUGAAAUAUAGUUGAGAUGUGAUUGUAAGUAUAAAAUACUAAAGAGAUUUAGUAUGAAAAAAAGAAUG